UACGUAGGGUGCGAGCGUUAAUCGGAAUUACUGGGCGUAAAGGGCGCGUAGGCGGCGACUCAAGUUAGAUGUGAAAGUCCUGGGCUUAACCUGGGGACUGCAUUUGAUACUGGGUUGCUUGAAUUCGGGAGAGGAUAGCGGAAUUCCCAGUGUAGAGGUGAAAUUCGUAGAUAUUGGGAAGAACACCGGUGGCGAAGGCGGCUAUCUGGACCGACAUUGACGCUGAGGCGCGAAAGCGUGGGGAGCAAACAGGG
rnacentral:rRNA from 1 species